rnacentral:lncRNA from 1 species
GCUGAGUAGAAGCAGCUGUGGUGUGUGGCUCUCAAGGAGAGGAAUGAAAGGGCCAAGUGAAUACAGCACCUUCUAUUGAAAUAUCCAGGUUCUUGCAUUGGUACUGAUGAGGAAAACAACUCAACUUACUGAGAAGAAAGAAAAGCAGGGUGGGAUGAUGGCCCACCUGGGAGUGACAUAGAGUCGAAGGAAUCCCUACUCCUAGCUGAGAGAAGCAGUGAGUAAAUGUGUGACCCUGGGGAACCACGCUCCUCCCACAGAUCUUUGCAACCCUCCAAUCACAAUCCCUUCGUGAGUCCACACCACCAGGGCCAGAGCUCUGCUCUCUCCCUGGGAUGGAGUGCCAGGGUGGGGAGUUGCAACCUUGUUUGUUUGGAUGACUCAGUCGUUCCAGCCUAUGGGUUUAGUUCAAGCCAAUAAUGG